CCUACGGGAGGCAGCAGUGGGGAAUAUUGGACAAUGGGGGGAACCCUGAUCCAGCCAUGCCGCGUGUGUGAAGAAGGCCUUAUGGUUGUAAAGCACUUUAAGCGAGGAGGCGUUACUCGCAGAAUAAGCACCGGCUAACUCUGUGCCAGCAGCCGCGGUAAUACAGAGGGUGCGAGCGUUAAUCGGAUUUACUGGGCGUAAAGCGUGCGUAGGCGGCUUUUUAAGUCGGAUGUGAAAUCCCCGAGCUUAACUUGGGAAUUGCAUUCGAUACUGGGAAGCUAGAGUAUGGGAGAGGAUGGUAGAAUUCCAGGUGUAGCGGUGAAAUGCGUAGAGAUCUGGAGGAAUACCGAUGGCGAAGGCAGCCAUCUGGCCUAUCUGACGCUGAGGUACGAAAGCAUGGGGAGCAAACAGGAUUAGAUACCCUUGUAGUC
rnacentral:rRNA from 1 species